UUGCUCUGCCUGACCCGCCGCCUCCAGUUAACACCACAAGGGAACAAGACAUGAUUGACUUAUUGAGUUUGGCAUUGACGUCAACUCCUCCACCUCCACCUCCACCUCCAUCCUCUCAACCUGCUCCUCCUCCCACUGUCUCAGAUCAAAACACCCAUGUCUAUCCGCAGGCUGUGCCACAGUUUGAGAGCUAUGUCGCUCCAUGGGCACAACCCCAGCAACCUCAACAGCAACAGCCUCAAACACAUCAGAGCUAUUCUCAGCCACAACAUCCUCAAACACAGCAGGGUUAUUCUCAACCACAACAGCAUCAAGCACAUCAUAGCUAUUCUCAACCCCAACAACAACAGCCUCAAGCACAGCAGGGUUAUUCUCAACCCCAACAGCCUCAAGCACAGCAAGGUUAUUCUCAACCGCAACAGCAACAGCCUCAAACACAGCAGGGAUAUUCUCAACCGCAACAGCCUCAAACACAGCAGGGUUAUUCUCAACAGUGACCGUCAGGUAUUGGAAUGUGUUAUACAGCUACAUUGAGGCUUUGGGAACGAAAUCUAAUGUUCUUACCUAUGUUUUUCGUAUUAUGUAGGCUGUGAAAGAUGAGGUCAUUGUUGAUUUGGUCGAGCGUUGUCGUUCUAAUCAGAAAAAGCUGAUGCAGAUGCUAACCACCACUGUGUUAGUCUUCUAUUCAGGAAUCACUUAGCUCUUAAACAUAUUGGAAUGUGUUGACUUGAGAGGUUCCAUCGUUGUGCUAAACAGUUCUUGAUUUAUUUGGCAGUGAUGAUGAACUUUUAGGCCGGGGACUCGAUCUAAAUGACAGUCUUCAAAUUCUGCUAGCUAGACAUGAUGCAAUAGCUUCUGGUUCUCCUCUGCCAGUUCUAGCUUUAAAACCCGCUGAUUCGAGCCCAAAAUCUUCUGAAGCUAAAGAAUCUAGUUCCAUAGCUGGUUCUAGUUCCCCAGUACCCGCCACUGUUUGUACGGGAAAAAGCCCAGUUGAUGAGGAAGACGAAGAGGAAGAUGAGUUUGCGCAAUUAGCUCGAAGGUCUGUUUUACAAUUGGAUUCAGGAACUGUUCAUAUCAUAAACUUUUAGUAUUUGACAUAGAAAUGAUUUGUUGUUUCAGGCACUCUAAAACACCAGCAUCUGUGACUACAGACCCAGCCAGUUCAGAGUCUCAUAAUGCUCUUGCUCUUGCUCUGCCUGACCCGCCGCCUCCAGUUAACACCACAAGGGAACAAGACAUGAUUGACUUAUUGAGUUUGACAUUGACGUCAACUCCUCCACCUCCAUCCUCUCAACCUGCUCAUCCUCCCACUGUCUCAGAUCAAAACACCCAUCUCUAUCCGCAGGCUGUGCCACAGUUUGAGAGCUAUGUCGCUCCUUGGGCACAACCCCAGCAACCUCAACAGCAACAGCCUCAAACACAUCAGAGCUAUUCUCAGCCACAACAUCCUCAAACACAGCAGGGUUAUUCUCAACCACAACAGCAUCAAGCACAUCAUAGCUAUUCUCAACCCCAACAACAACAGCCUCAAGCACAGCAGGGUUAUUCUCAACCCCAACAGCCUCAAGCACAGCAAGGUUAUUCUCAACCGCAACAGCAACAGCCUCAAACACAGCAGGGAUAUUCUCAACCGCAACAGCCUCAAACACAGCAGGGUUAUUCUCAACCGCAGCAACAGAUUCAAACACAUCAAGGCUAUUCUCAACCACA
rnacentral:lncRNA from 1 species